rnacentral:rRNA from 1 species
AUGAUGGCAAUUCGCUCCGGCAAUUCCAGUUUUGUCAGUGGUGGUGCUGCUGCUCCUAUGAUGGUAGACUCGUCUGCCUUCCCUAGCCGCAUCCGUGGUGAUGUAGCUCGGCCUAGGCUACAACCCCCUCUGGGGAGUGAUGCUGGAGCAGUACAUCGAUCAACAUAUCACCCUGCCAUUUGGGCAAGGAGAAGAUGGGAUGGCCCUAAUGCAGUGACAUCACCAUGUGGCAAAUCCAGUAGAUGGACACAACAUUGGUGCCUGGGUGAUGGGAUAAAACCACUCACUUCAGGGACUCGUCUAGCAAAGAUAAACAUAGUUUUGUACCAUCAAAAUGGAAGCAACCUUCACUGCUUCACGACGCUUACCCCAUGCGCUAUUUCUGAUGUGAUGGUACCCCCUUACGACAGCGCUGCUGGCUGGGACUGCGCGUGUGGUGGAUCCACGGUACUCCAGUCUCCAGGAGAUCCCCAACAACUUUCAGAUGAAGGGCGUAACGAUGCCCGACACUUGUCAAUUAGGAACCUGCAUGACCACUGUUUCCAUCAUCUGAUCACCGCUCUGUCUAGCUUGUGUAAAUAA